GUAUAGCCCAGACAGCAGAGAAAAGCCUCGAGGAAAUAAAGCUAUUUUUUCUUGCAAUGGCAGAGCGACCAAAGGAAGCUCCUGCAAGUGCAAUUGAAAAAAAGAUUUAUGACCAAUAGCUUGAAACGGAUGGCUGGAAUAGCU
rnacentral:misc_RNA from 1 species